UACGAAGGGGGCUAGCGUUGCUCGGAAUCACUGGGCGUAAAGCGCGCGUAGGCGGCUUUUCAAGCCGAUUGUGAAAUCCCCGGGCUUAACCUGGGAACUGCAGUCGGGACUGUUUAGCUAGAGUAUGGGAGAGGGAAGUGGAAUUUCAGGUGUAGCGGUGAAAUGCGUAGAUAUCUGAAGGAACAUCAGUGGCGAAAGCGACUUCCUGGACCAAUACUGACGCUCAUGUGCGAAAGCGUGGGGAGCAAACAGG
rnacentral:rRNA from 1 species